rnacentral:rRNA from 1 species
UACGAAGGGGGCUAGCGUUGCUCGGAAUGACUGGGCGUAAAGGGCGCGUAGGCGGUUUGCAAAGUCAGAGGUGAAAUUCCUGGGCUCAACCUGGGGGCUGCAUUUGAUACGUGUAGACUUGAGUGGGGAAGAGGGUCGUGGAAUUCCCAGUGUAGAGGUGAAAUUCGUAGAUAUUGGGAAGAACACCGGUGGCGAAGGCGGCGACCUGGUCCUUGACUGACGCUGAGGCGCGAAAGCGUGGGGAUCAAACGGG